rnacentral:antisense_RNA from 1 species
CGCUCGCAGUCCUAGGCAGACAGCAACCCCCACCGUCCUCACAGCUGCUGGGGAGGGGAGCGUGGCCCAGAGACCCCUGGAUCCCUGGACACCCCACACGCCUCCUCCCUCUGCUGACUCCACUCUGCCCCGUCCCCGGAAUGCGCUGCGGCCAAGGAGACCACAGGCCUUCUGGGGAGCCCGUGGGGCCUGACGCGUCACAGACCAGACCUGGAUCACAGGGGGUGUCGCACUCCAGCAGCCCCUCCUGGCCUCACACAGGCCCCUGUGCUGUCCUUCAGGCCUGGGCAGCCCGCUCAGGUCUCAGCUCCAUCCCCAUCCAGCCAGCAGCCUCUGCUCCUGCAUCCUGAGGGUCUUCUAGGAAUCUGCCCUACAAGGCCCCCUCACCUGGUGCUCAGACACCCCCAAAACACCCCGCACGCCAGCCAGGCCGCUGCCUGGGGCAGCCUCCAGCUCCUGUCAUUUAGCUGCCGGACGCUGGGAGAAGCUGCUGUUCCGAGUCGCGCCUACAGCACACAGCCGUCUGGAUAACACAGUGGCUUUUGCUUUUUGUUUU